rnacentral:rRNA from 1 species
UACGGAGGGGGCGAGCGUUAUUCGGAAUUAUUGGGCGUAAAGGGCGCGUAGGCGGCUUGACACGUCAAAGGUGAAAUCCCUCGGCUCAACUGAGGAACUGCCUUUGAAACUGUCUGGCUUGAGGCCGGGAGGGGGUAGCGGAAUUCCCAGUGUAGCGGUGAAAUGCGUAGAUAUUGGGAGGAACACCAGUGGCGAAGGCGGCUACCUGGACCGGCAUUGACGCUGAGGCGCGAAAGCCAGGGGAGCAAACGGG